ensembl:miRNA
CUCAGAUCUGGCUCUACGUUGUCCUCAUUGUACAUGCUGUGUGUAUUUGCCACGUACACAGCGCAUGCAAUGUGGACAUAAUGGAGCUCA